GGGUUGUCGGUUUGAUGUCGUUCGCGCGCAUCGGCGGUGCGUAAUUUGCUUUGUCUCUGCCUCUGUUAAGUUCUGCGGCAACUCUGGGCCUGGGGACAAAAUCACACGUUUGGUGUGCGGCAUUGGGGGAGAGAUUGAGCGCAUACAUGGCCAAUUUAGCUUUUUGCUUUAGCUUCUGAGAAAAUUCUGUCUGUUUCAGUCUCUCUGAUGCAGUCACAAACAAUCUGGAUUUUGCGCAGGUACACACAGACAGAAGUAACUCCUGCUGAAGGUUUCUGGAGAUGGCCCGUGUAGACAAUGCCAGAUAUAUUGUGAGAAUUUGUUUCUUCCCAGAACUGUAAGAUGCAAGAAAACGGCAUUUCACAGCACCCCGCAUCGAUGCUUUAUGCGCCGCGUGAAUUGAAAGCCGAGGCAGAAGGCUGUAUUACCUGGACUGGGCAGGAUCCCAUCGCAGGCUCCGUGUUGCUGUGCUGUGAUGCAGUUGGAGCUAUGGCAGGGUGUACAGUGGGACAGGGAGAGCCCUGGCAGUGGAGGUGCUAUGACCGUAAAGCCUGAGAAAGGAGGAGGCUGUGGAACCCGUGCCCGGAGGAGGCGCAGCAUGCCUGCACACGGCCCUCUGGGACCUGAAACUGCAGGAGGACAGGACCCAGGGCCCGGGGAAGGAGGAGCAGUAUCCGCUGGAAACACAGGAGAGCUGCUGGCCACGGGUCUUGACAUGUCAAGGUGAAACCAAACAACGGCAUUAAAGGACUUCAGUGCAGCUGCAGUGGAGCAGAACUCUGUGUUGCCCUGACCCUCCAGUGCCACCCACAGCUGGGCAGCGUUCACACUGCUUUCUGUGCAACUGGGUUCUGUUCCUGUCUAUGGAGCCCUCAACUUCUUUGUGUCAGCUCUGUGAAAACUGUGAUGCCUGGAUUCACUAAAAGAGACUGAAGUCCUGGAGCUGCCUGCCAGAGGGACUCCAUACAGCCUAUACAUACUGCAAAGGAGGACCAAGGUUACAGGUGUCCAAGCAACUUAUCAUAUCCAGAAGACUGCACUACCAUGGUGGAUCACCUUGGACUAAAGUGGACAAUAGGGUGAAUGAUAUGUCUGACAUCUCAGCCAGAUUGGGGACAAGACAUGCACAGAGGUGCUGUGACUUUCGCAUAGCAUCAUGUCCUGUAUUGUUUAUAUGACAUAAAGCGACAGAAAGUGAAUACAAAUGCACUGCGUUAGAGUUACCACUGCCAUUUCAUUCCAUUUUUGUUGUUUUUGAUGUUGGUUGGUUAAUUUUUGAUGGUGGUUGAUUAAUUGUUUUACUUUUUUACAUCAAGAAACCAGUUAGUUAGUCAGCUAACUUAAUUUUUAUACAUGUUUCCAUUUUACAACAUUUAUGUUUUGUUUCCAUUUUACAAAUCAUAAUAAAGUUGAAAUCAACAUUCUAAAUCUAGAAUCCGUAACUCAACUGGUAUAUAAAUUAUUUGGAGUUAAAACAUAUUUUUUGUAUUUGGGAAUGUAUCUGAGAGUCACAUUUUGAAUGCAUGAAUAUUUUCAGAUAAAAUAUGUUUUUUCUGUGUGGAAGAUGUUUGUGGUUAAGACUGUUAUGUGAAUAUUUGAAGGUAAGAUUAUGCUCUUAAAUGAUUGAAUAUGUGUUUGGGGAAAAAGCAUAUAAUGUUGUAUCUUUGCUUAGAUGUGUGUGGGUACGAAUAUUGUCUUAUUAUGUGAAUUGAUUCAUAUUUGGAAAUGGGUUUUUGCUGUACAAUGGGAUGGGUAUACAUCAUUUCAAGAAACCUAAUGAAUAUUUGAGGGAAAGAAUACAAUCCAACAUGCUGUGACCUUUGUGAAUACUAGUGUAGAUUUGUAUUAGGUAAAUGUAAACAUUUAUCUUAACAGUGGAAUUGUUAUAACUCAAAAACCUACCCAUGAAUGCAUUACACAUCUUGUAUCCUUUUAUAAAGUUUGCACAUUCAAAGUUGACUCAUGGUAAGAAUAAAGUAAGAUAUUAGGAA